rnacentral:rRNA from 1 species
UACUCGAGUGGCGAACGGGUGAGUAACACGUGGGUGAUCUGCCCUGCACUUCGGGAUAAGCCUGGGAAACUGGGUCUAAUAACCGGAUAGGAGCCAUUUUAGUGUGAUGGUUGGAAAGUUUUUUCGGUGUAGGAUGAGCUCGCGGCCUAUCAGCUUGUUGGUGGGGUAAUGGCCUACCAAGGCGGCGACGGGUAGCCGGCCUGAGAGGGUGGACGGCCACAUUGGGACUGAGAUACGGCCCAG